CCUACGGGGGGCAGCAGUGAGGAAUAUUGGUCAAUGGACGAGAGUCUGAACCAGCCAAGUAGCGUGAAGGAUGACUGCCCUAUGGGUUGUAAACUUCUUUUAUAAAGGAAUAAAACGAGGCACGUGUGCCUUUUUGCAUGUACUUUAUGAAUAAGGAUCGGCUAACUCCGUGCCAGCAGCCGCGGUAAUACGGAGGAUCCGAGCGUUAUCCGGAUGUAUUGGGUUUAAAGGGAGCGUAGAUGGGUUGUUAAGUCAGUUGUGAAAGUUUGCGGCUCAACCGUAAAAUUGCAACUGAUACUGGCAGUCUUGAGUACAGUUGAGGUAGGCGGAAUUCGUGGUGUAGCGGUGAAAUGCUUAGAUAUCACGAAGAACCCCGAUUGCGAAGGCAGCUUACUAAACUGUGACUGACAUUGAUGCUCGAAAGUGUGGGUAUCAAACAGGAUUAGAUACCCUUGUAGUC
rnacentral:rRNA from 1 species